rnacentral:rRNA from 1 species
GUAAGGAAUAUUGCACAAUGGGCGAAAGCUUGAUGCAGCAACGCCGCGUGAGUGACGAAGGCCUUCGGGUCGUAAAACUCUUUUCUGAGGGAUGAGCAAGGACAGUACCUCAGGAACAAGUCUCGGCUAACUACGUGCCAGCAGCCGCGGUAAAACGUAGGAGGCGAGCGUUAUCCGGAUUUAUUGGGCGUAAAGGGCAAGUAGGCGGUAGGACAAGUCGGACGUGACAAAUCCCGGCUCAACUGGGAGGGGUCGUUCGAAACUGGCCUGCUAGAGGGCAGGAGAGGGAAGCGGAACUCCUGGUGUAGCGGUGGAAUGCUCAGAUACCAGGAAGAACACCGGUGGCGAAGGCGGCUUUCUGGCCUGCACCUGACGCUGAGAGGCGAAAGCUAGGGGAGCAAACGGGCUUAGAAACCCCAGUAGUCC